rnacentral:rRNA from 1 species
UGCGUAGGCGGUUUGGUAAGUCUGAUGUGAAAUCUAUGGGCUCAACUCAUAGUCUGCAUCGGAAACUGCCGGGCUUGAGUAUGGGAGAGGUGAGUGGAAUUCCUGGUGUAGCGGCGAAAUGCGUAGAUAUCAGGAGGAACACCUGUGGCGAAAGCGGCUCACUGGACCAUAACUGACGCUGAUGCACGAAAGCUAGGGGAGCAAACAGGAUUAGAUACCCUGGUAGUCCUAGCCCUAAACGAUGACUGCUUGGUGUGACGGGUACCCAAUCCCGCCGUGCCGUAGCUAACGCGUUAAGCAGUCCGCCUGGGGAGUACGGUCGCAAGGCUGAA